rnacentral:rRNA from 1 species
GACGAACGCUGGCGGCGUGCUUAACACAUGCAAGUCGAACGGAAAGGCCCUGCUUUUGUGGGGUGCUCGAGUGGCGAACGGGUGAGUAACACGUGAGUAACCUGCCCUUGACUUUGGGAUAACUUCAGGAAACUGGGGCUAAUACCGGAUAGGAGCUCCUGCUGCAUGGUGGGGGUUGGAAAGUUUCGGCGGUUGGGGAUGGACUCGCGGCUUAUCAGCUUGUUGGUGGGGUAGUGGCUUACCAAGGCUUUGACGGGUAGCCGGCCUGAGAGGGUGACCGGCGUGAGUGGGAAGGAGAGACGGUGCAGAGUGAGAAGGGAGGAGGGAGCGGGGAAUGUGGCAGGAUGGGAGGGAGCCUGAUGCAGCAACGGCGGGUGGGGGAGGGGGGGUGGCGGGGUGGGACACGAAUUAGACGGUGAAGAAGCGAGAGAGAAGGUGAGGAGUAACGGAAAACAGGAUAACGAAGUG